GGGUUGUGAGGUUAAGCGACUAAGCGUACACGGUGGAUGCCCUGGCAGUCAGAGGCGAUGAAGGACGUGCUAAUCUGCGAAAAGCGACGGCGAGGUGAUAUGAACCUUUGACCCGUCGAUGUCCGAAUGGGGAAACCCAGUGUGUUUCGACACACUAUCGUUAACUGAAUACAUAGGUUAACGAGGCGAACCGGGGGAACUGAAACAUCUAAGUACCCCGAGGAAAAGAAAUCAACCGAGAUUCCCCCAGUAGCGGCGAGCGAACGGGGAGCAGCCCGGAGUCUGAAUCAGCUUGUGUGUUAGUGGAAGCGUCUGGAAAGUCGCACGGUACAGGGUGACAGUCCCGUACACGAAAAUGCACAGGUUGUGAACUCGAAGAGUAGGGCGGGACACGUGGUAUCCUGUCUGAAUAUGGGGGGACCAUCCUCCAAGGCUAAAUACUCCUGACUGACCGAUAGUGAACCAGUACCGUGAGGGAAAGGCGAAAAGAACCCCGGCGAGGGGAGUGAAAAAGAACCUGAAACCGUGUACGUACAAGCAGUGGGAGCACCUUCGUGGUGUGACUGCGUACCUUUUGUAUAAUGGGUCAGCGACUUAUAUUCUGUAGCAAGGUUAACCGUAUAGGGGAGCCGCAGGGAAACCGAGUCUUAACUGGGCGUUAAGUUGCAGGGUAUAGACCCGAAACCCGGUGAUCUAGCCAUGGGCAGGUUGAAGGUUGGGUAACACUAACUGGAGGACCGAACCGACUAAUGUUGAAAAAUUAGCGGAUGACCUGUGGCUGGGGGUGAAAGGCCAAUCAAACCGGGAGAUAGCUGGUUCUCCCCGAAAGCUAUUUAGGUAGCGCCUCGUGAACUCAUCUUCGGGGGUAGAGCACUGUUUCGGCUAGGGGGCCAUCCCGGCUUACCAACCCGAUGCAAACUACGAAUACCGAAGAAUGUUAUCACGGGAGACACACGGCGGGUGCUAACGUCCGUCGUGAAGAGGGAAACAACCCAGACCGCCAGCUAAGGUCCCAAAGUCAUGGUUAAGUGGGAAACGAUGUGGGAAGGCACAGACAGCCAGGAUGUUGGCUUAGAAGCAGCCAUCAUUUAAAGAAAGCGUAAUAGCUCACUGGUCGAGUCGGCCUGCGCGGAAGAUGUAACGGGGCUAAACCAUGCACCGAAGCUGCGGCAGCGACACUAUGUGUUGUUGGGUAGGGGAGCGUUCUGUAAGCCGUUGAAGGUGUGCUGUGAGGCAUGCUGGAGGUAUCAGAAGUGCGAAUGCUGACAUAAGUAACGAUAAAGCGGGUGAAAAGCCCGCUCGCCGGAAGACCAAGGGUUCCUGUCCAACGUUAAUCGGGGCAGGGUGAGUCGACCCCUAAGGCGAGGCCGAAAGGCGUAGUCGAUGGGAAACAGGUUAAUAUUCCUGUACUUGGUGUUACUGCGAAGGGGGGACGGAGAAGGCUAUGUCAGCCGGGCGACGGUUGUCCCGGUUUAAGCGUGUAGGUGUGUGUUCCAGGCAAAUCCGGUUCACUUUAACACUGAGGCGUGAUGACGAGGCACUACGGUGCUGAAGUGAUAAAUGCCCUGCUUCCAGGAAAAGCCUCUAAGCAUCAGGUAACACGAAAUCGUACCCCAAACCGACACAGGUGGUCAGGUAGAGAAUACCAAGGCGCUUGAGAGAACUCGGGUGAAGGAACUAGGCAAAAUGGUGCCGUAACUUCGGGAGAAGGCACGCUGAUAUGUAGGUGAAGUCCCUGCGGACGGAGCUGAAAUCAGUCGAAGAUACCAGCUGGCUGCAACUGUUUAUUAAAAACACAGCACUGUGCAAACACGAAAGUGGACGUAUACGGUGUGACGCCUGCCCGGUGCCGGAAGGUUAAUUGAUGGGGUUAGCGGCAACGCGAAGCUCUUGAUCGAAGCCCCGGUAAACGGCGGCCGUAACUAUAACGGUCCUAAGGUAGCGAAAUUCCUUGUCGGGUAAGUUCCGACCUGCACGAAUGGCGUAAUGAUGGCCAGGCUGUCUCCACCCGAGACUCAGUGAAAUUGAACUCGCUGUGAAGAUGCAGUGUACCCGCGGCAAGACGGAAAGACCCCGUGAACCUUUACUAUAGCUUGACACUGAACACUGGUCCUUGAUGUGUAGGAUAGGUGGGAGGCUUUGAAGCGUGGACGCCAGUCUGCGUGGAGCCGUCCUUGAAAUACCACCCUUUAAUGGCUGGUGUUCUAACGUGGACCCGUGAUCCGGGUUGCGGACAGUGUCUGGUGGGUAGUUUGACUGGGGCGGUCUCCUCCCAAAGAGUAACGGAGGAGCACGAAGGUUAGCUAAUCCUGGUCGGACAUCAGGAGGUUAGUGCAAUGGCAUAAGCUAGCUUGACUGCGAGAGUGACGGCUCGAGCAGGUGCGAAAGCAGGUCAUAGUGAUCCGGUGGUUCUGAAUGGAAGGGCCAUCGCUCAACGGAUAAAAGGUACUCCGGGGAUAACAGGCUGAUACCGCCCAAGAGUUCAUAUCGACGGCGGUGUUUGGCACCUCGAUGUCGGCUCAUCACAUCCUGGGGCUGAAGUAGGUCCCAAGGGUAUGGCUGUUCGCCAUUUAAAGUGGUACGCGAGCUGGGUUUAGAACGUCGUGAGACAGUUCGGUCCCUAUCUGCCGUGGGCGCUGGAGAAUUGAGGGGGGCUGCUCCUAGUACGAGAGGACCGGAGUGGACGCAUCACUGGUGUUCGGGUUGUCAUGCCAAUGGCACUGCCCGGUAGCUAAAUGCGGAAGAGAUAAGUGCUGAAAGCAUCUAAGCACGAAACUUGCCCCGAGAUGAGUUCUCCCUGAGACUUUAAGUCUCCUGAAGGAACGUUGAAGACGACGACGUUGAUAGGCCGGGUGUGUAAGCGCAGCGAUGCGUUGAGCUAACCGGUACUAAUGAACCGUGAGGCUUAACCUUACAACGCCGAAGCUGUU
rnacentral:rRNA from 1 species